AAUCCAAGAAAUGCUGUAGUCUAGUUAAACAUCAACCUCCUGGUUUUUGUUUUGUUCUAGCGUCAUUACAGAUGUUACCUUCAGGGAAUCUGAGUGAAGGCACAUGGAAUUCCUCUGCACUCUGUGGACAUCCUCCUGUGAGCUGCGCAUCCUCCUGUGAACCUCUACUUAACUCAAAAGAUUCUGAGGACACCAUCUCUCCUUGUUCUCCUGAGUUUUCAAGGAGAGGGUUUUUACUUGGAGCCAGGACAAGAACACUGCUGCGUCUCAGCUGUGCCAAAUGAGAACCACAU
rnacentral:lncRNA from 1 species